ACAAGCGGUGAGUGCUUUGGGGUGGGGUGACUGCGUACCUUUUGUAUAAUGGGUCAGCGACUUAUAUUCUGUAGCAAGGUUAACCGAAUAGGGGAGCCGGAGGGAAACCGAGUCUUAAUUGGGCGUUAAGUUGCAGGGUAUAGACCCGAAACCCGGUGAUCUAGCCAUGGGCAGGUUGAAGGUUGGGUAACACUAACUGGAGGACCGAACCGACUAAUGUUGAAAAAUUAGCGGAUGACCUGUGGCUGGGGGUGAAAGGCCAAUCAAACCGGGAGAUAGCUGGUUCUCCCCGAAAGCUAUUUAGGUAGCGCCUCGUGAAUUCAUCUCCGGGGGUAGAGCACUGUUUCGGCUAGGGGGCCAUCCCGGCUUACCAACCCGAUGCAAACUGCGAAUACCGGAGAAUGUUAUCACGGGAGACACACGGCGGGUGCUAACGUCCGUCGUGAAGAGGGAAACAACCCAGACCGCCAGCUAAGGUCCCAAAGUCAUGGUUAAGUGGGAAACGAUGUGGGAAGGCCCAGACAGCCAGGAUGUUGGCUUAGAAGCAGCCAUCAUUUAAAGAAAGCGUAAUAGCUCACUGGUCGAGUCGGCCUGCGCGGAAGAUGUAACGGGGCUAAACCAUGCACCGAAGCUGCGGCAGCGACACUCAGGUGUUGUUGGGUAGGGGAGCGUUCUGUAAGCCUGCGAAGGUGGCCUGUGAGGGUUGCUGG
rnacentral:rRNA from 1 species